GGAGAAAAGAAAUGGUCAUGCCGCGUUAACAAAUUGCGGAGGAGGAAAUCCCCAAGGGUGUCCAAGACGGCUGUAACUUUCAUUUCGUUAGAUUUUUGUUGCAAACUCUCUUUUUCCUCGCAAAAAAGAAAGAUUUUUGUUGCAAACUCCCACCUAAGCACAGGGAGAUGUUAUUGUCAGGCGUCUGAUUUUUCUUGUUUUCUUUCAGUCGCCGUUACCAUCCCCUCCUCCCACCCUCGCCGCCGGCGACUCGCCGAUGCCCUUGCGGGUCCCCGGCCACCGCGGCCUCCCCCGCCUUCUCCCCCUCCUCCUCCUGCUCGCGCUCCUCGCGCCUCCCCCGCGCUGCGCGGCCGAGUCGGCGACGUGCCUCGCCGUGUACCGGGAGGGCGGCGCGCCGGCGGUGUUCCAGUCCGCGCACUGCCCGCGUUGGACGCUGCCCCCACCCGGCGCCGGCGAGGGGCAUGGCGGAGGGGGCGGGAGCUUCCCGAUGGGGUGCCACGUGGCGGCCGAGCGCGGCCGGCGGCGGUCCCAGGAGGACCGCGCCGUGUGCGCCCUCGGCAUCCGCAUCCCCUUCGUAGAGCAGAUGAGGAUUAAAGAGGUUGAUGUGGGAGUGGUUGCCAUAUUUGAUGGUCAUAAUGGAGCUGAGGCUAGUGAGAUGGCUUCCAAGCUUUUUCUGGAUUACUUCUUGCUCCAUGUUUAUUUUCUUCUCGAUGGUAUAUACUCCAUGAUGUUCAGAAAAUCUACUGGGAAACUGACAUAUAGGGAAGUUGCUAUUUUUAACAACGUAUUCAAUCUGUACAAGGAUGACCAAUCCAACCACAGAGAGGGGUCAUGUUGGACAUCGCCAGCUAUUUUAGACCGAUCAUUUCACAUGGAAAUUCUGAAGGAAUCAUUAACAAGGGCAGUUCAUGAUAUCGACUUAACAUUCUUCAAGGAAGCUUCGCAGAAACAUUUUGAGUCUGGUUCAACAGCGACUGUGGUCUUGAUAGCUGAUGGACAAAUUAUAGCUGCCAAUGUAGGAGAUUCAAAAGCUUUUCUGUGCUCAGAAGGACAUGAUCCACACCGUCGAAAUAGGAAACGGAGAAGAAAGAGAAACUCAAUCGAUCAUGAAGAAUUUGCUUUGGCAAAUUAUGAUGGACCACUGUAUCAUGCAAGGGAGCUGACCAAGGACCACCAUCCUGAUAGAGAAGAUGAGAGAAGCCGCGUGGAGGCUGCUGGUGGUUAUGUUAUUGAGUGGGCUGGUGUAUACCGUGUUAAUGGUGAGCUAGCACUCUCAAGAGCUAUUGGUGACCUUCCUUUUAAGAGAUAUGGGGUAAUAUCUACACCUGAAUUGACAGGAUGGCAGAUCCUGUCAGAAAAUGACACUUUUCUGGUUGCGUCAUCCGAUGGGAUCUUUGAGAAAAUGACUAUGCAAGAUGUUUGUGACCUGAUGCUGAAUGCGAAAUUGCGUGUUAACCAGGAUUUAAGAUCAUCUGCUAUCACACAACAUAAUUUGGCAGAUUAUGUAGUUCGUGUUGCUUUGCAAAAAGGCACAAGAGACAAUGUGGCUGCUGUGGUUGUUCCAUUGGGACCACCUAGUAGUGGUACGACAUUAGAAGAUUGGUCUCAGUUUGAAGAAAAUCUCAAGACAUCUAUUUCACCAUUGCAGAAUAUUCCAUACCAACUAAAUGCUGCAGAUGAUGGCACUAGUUCAGCUGUUAUUGACAUGGAGUAUUUCAGGCGUUCAUCAACAAAGUUCCAGAGGUUCUUGGUUGAAGCAAAACUUAAGACACUCGGUUGUUUCUACUUGUCCGAGAGUCUGGAUGAAGAUGUGGACUACAUAUUUAGGGUACCGGAAGCAUACCAGCGUGAAGAAGCCUAUGACUUCAAUCACGUACCAUCUGAGACUGCCUUAUAUUCUGAUGGUAAUCUUGAAAAAUACAAGGACAGACACUUUUGCUUGUACCUUGGUCAUCAAGAUGGUGAAAUGGGGCGGUGCAAUGGUCCUGAAGCAGUGGCAAAUUUUUUUGGUUUAUUUGACUCCCUUCCUCAUAAUGGAACCAAUUCAAAUGGUUCACGCUCCUUUGGCAACAAGAUAGAUUUCAGGUACAAGCUUAAGAGGAGAUUUGAUCGUGGUUCAUAUGGUGAAGUCUGGUUGGCAUUUCACUGGAAUUGCUCUGAAGAUCUAGAUUUGCAUAAAGACCCUCGACAUUUUACCAAUAUACCUAAAUCAGACUCGUAUAACUGCACAAGUUCAAACACAACGCCAUCUGAUGAAGAUCAUUUCUCAGACACAGUAGAUGGUGAUUUAUUCAUACUGAAGCGCAUAAUGGUGGAGAGGGGAAAUGCUGCUUACUUGAGUGGAUUGCGGGAGAAAUACUUUGGGGAAUUAUUUUCAAUUGCUUCCAGAACUCUUGAAGGUUUGUCAAGGACAGAAUCUUCAUCGACUAUUUUUUCAAUGGACAUGCCAUCGGAUCCUGAUAUCCUUCUAGAAAGGAACAUGUCAGUUACUGAAGAACCACUCAAGCAUGUGGCUAGGUUUAUCGAAUCUUUUGAAUCAGAAUCAAGGGAAAUUUGGCUUGUCUACCAGAAUGAAGGCCGCUCAUUAUCAAAACUGAUAUAUACAGCUGAAGAAACAAAGUUAGUCACUGGCAACAAUAAUGAGAGGGUCAGACAUAUUCAAGUUCUACACCCAUCAAAGUGGUGGUAUUGGUUAAGGACAACAAAAGCUGGGCAAAAUCAAAUGCAGAACCUCUUAUGGCAGCUGCUGAUGGGACUGAAGGCUUGUCAUGAUCGUAAUAUCACUCACAGGGAUAUCAAACCUGAGAACAUGAUCAUUUGCUUUGAGGAUGUGGAUACUGGAAAGUGUCUAAGAGAGGUUCCAUCUGAAGCAAAGCAAAAUAAGCUGAACAUGCGUUUGAUUGACUUCGGCAGCGCCAUUGAUGAUUACACAUUGAAACAUCUUUAUGGUUCAGGGCCUACUCGGUGUGUGAUAAUUUUCCUUUCCUUCCCUUCAUAUUUGGUUGGAGCGUAAAAUUAUGAUCUUUAUGGUUCAAGGCCUACUCGAUCUGAACAGACUUUUGAGUACACUCCUCCAGAGGCACUCCUUAAUUCAAACUGGUUUCAAGGAUCAAAAAGUGCAAGACUGAAGUAUGAUAUCUGGAGUGUUGGAGUUGUCAUGCUAGAAUUGAUAGUGGGUUCUCCCCAUGUUUUUCAGAUAAGCGAUCGUACACAUGUUUUAAUGGAUCACCGUCUUGAAGGGUGGAGUGAACAAACAAGGGAGCUUGCAUACAAGUUGAGGUCAUACAUGGAGUUAUGUAUUUUAGUCCCAGGGAUUUCAACGCAACAUGGCAGUGGAAGCUCAGAACAGGGUCAAUUUGGGUUGGCUUCGUGGAAAUGCUCUGAAGAAUCAUUUGCACAUCAAGUGAAGAUCAGAGAUCCUCUUAAAAUCGGCUUUCCUAAUUUAUGGGCAUUGCGACUUGCACGCCAGCUACUGGUGUGGCAUCCUGAGGACCGCCUCAGUGUUGAUGAAGCACUAAAUCAUCCUUAUUUCCAGGAGCCACCAUAAUGCAGAGGCGACGAAAACAACUAACCAGCUAAUGAAUCAAUAACGCAGGUCGGAUCAUCCAUUUGGUGCGUCUGAUCAGCAAAAUAUGUGAAAUGUUUGUAGAUAUCAGCCUGAGUGCGCCAUCUGGCGUUGUAAAAGUUUGAUAUGAAACAGAGCAUAGGAGCAUGUGUGAAAACACGUGUAUAACCAGCAACGUAGAUAGAUGUAGUCAUAUAGAGUUGCAAAGGAAGAGAAGCGGUUGUGUGAGUAGCUGCUGAAGAGUACCAACCAAAAAUGCCCUUUGGUAACUGAGGCCAUAUAUAAGAUCAGUUGAAUCUAGUGAUGCUGCAAAUAGUAUUAUGAUGAUGCUACUCGAUCUCAUCUGCUGAAUUCAAAGUGAAAAAAGGGUUCUUUGCUGGGUCA